rnacentral:rRNA from 1 species
UGGGCAACCUGCCCUCAGCUCUGGGAUAACUCCGGGAAACCGGGCUAAUACCGGAUACGACCUUCCCUCGCAUGGGGGUUGGUGGAAAGUUCUUCGGCUGAGGAUGGGCCCGCGGCCUAUCAGCUUGUUGGUGGGGUGAUGGCCUACCAAGGCGACGACGGGUAGCCGGCCUGAGAGGGCGACCGGCCACACUGGGACUGAGACACGGCCCAGACCUCCGUACGGGAGGCA